rnacentral:rRNA from 1 species
AGUGAACGCUGGCGGUAGGCCUAACACAUGCAAGUCGAACGGCAGCACAGUAAGAGCUUGCUCUUACGGGUGGCGAGUGGCGGACGGGUGAGGAAUACAUCGGAAUCUACUUUUUCGUGGGGGAUAACGUAGGGAAACUUACGCUAAUACCGCAUACGACCUACGGGUGAAAGCAGGGGAUCUUCGGACCUUGCGCGAUUGAAUGAGCCGAUGUGGGAUUAGCUAGUUGGCGGGGUAAAGGCCCACCAAGGCGACGAUCCGUAGCUGGUCUGAGAGGAGGAACACCCACCCGGGAACGGAGACACGGUCCAGAGUCCUACGGGAGGCAGCAGUGGGGAAUAUUGGACAAUGGGCGCAAACCUGAUCCAGCCAUAGCGCGUGGGUUGAGAAGGCCUUCGGGUUGUAAAGCCCUUUUUUUGGGAAAGAAAAGCAGCAGGUUAAUACCCCGCUGGUCUGACGGUACCCAAAGAAUAAGCACCGGCUAACUUCGUG